rnacentral:rRNA from 1 species
GUGGGGAAUUUUGGACAAUGGGCGCAAGCCUGAUCCAGCAAUGCCGCGUGUGUGAAGAAGGCCUUCGGGUUGUAAAGCACUUUUGUCCGGAAAGAAAUGGCCUGGGUUAAUACCCCGGGUCGAUGACGGUACCGGAAGAAUAAGCACCGGCUAACUACGUGCCAGCAGCCGCGGUAAUACGUAGGGUGCGAGCGUUAAUCGGAAUUACUGGGCGUAAAGCGUGCGCAGGCGGCGAUGCAAGACAGAUGUGAAAUCCCCGGGCUCAACCUGGGAACUGCAUUUGUGACUGCAUGGCUAGAGUGCGUCAGAGGGGGGUGGAAUUCCGCGUGUAGCAGUGAAAUGCGUAGAGAUGCGGAGGAACACCGAUGGCGAAGGCAGCCCCCUGGGAUGACACUGACGCUCAUGCACGAAAGCGUGGGGAGCAAACAGGAUUAGAAACCCCAGUAGUCC